GCCCGAGGCGCCCCCGGGCCGCAGCGGCGACGCCGCCCCGGGCGGCGCGGCCGAGGCGGGGGUGGUCUCCAGGGCGGACCCCAGGGACGAGAAGCUGGCCCUGUACCUGGCCGAGGUGGAGAGGCAGGACAAGUACCUGCGGCAGCGGAAUAAGUACCGCUUCCACAUCAUCCCCGACGGCAACUGUCUCUACCGAGCCGUCAGCAAGACGGUGUACGGAGACCAGAGCCUGCACCGCGAGCUGCGGGAGCAGACGGUGCACUACAUCGCCGACCACCUGGACCACUUCAGCCCCCUGAUCGAGGGCGACGUGGGCGAGUUCAUCAUCGCAGCCGCCCAGGACGGCGCCUGGGCCGGCUACCCGGAGUUGCUGGCCAUGGGGCAGAUGCUGAAUGUCAAUAUCCACUUAACUACUGGAGGGAGGUUGGAGAGCCCCACGGUGUCCACCAUGAUCCACUAUUUGGGCCCCGAGGAUUCGCUGAGGCCCAGUAUCUGGCUGAGUUGGCUCAGUAACGGACAUUACGACGCGGUGUUUGAUCACUGCUAUCCCAAUCCCGAGUACGACAAUUGGUGCAAACAGACUCAGGUGCAGAGAAAACGCGACGAAGAGCUUGCCAAGUCCAUGGCCAUAUCCCUGUCCAAGAUGUAUAUCGAACAAAAUGCAUGCUCUUGAAGUGUCUGGACACCUACACCCUGGGAGAAUCGCAUACGUCAUUUGUGUUUGGAGAAUUAUAUGAACUCGAAUCAGGGUAUAAAUGGAAAUACAGCCCAGGUGGUUGUGGACAGCCAAAAUAGAACUUCUAGAAGUGAAGUUGACAUUGACAAGGGCAGACAGAUGUAGAGUUAACCUGGUCUUGGAGGACAUUGGUCCCUGGACUACAGAGAACGUGAGCUCUUGCUGCAAGUCACCUGCCUCUAAGAGACAUAAAUAACCACAACUGGCAGAAAAUAAAGCAGGCAAUCUCUGGAAAUGCCUGGAUAAAUUAAAAUGAAAUACAACCCAAGACUCCAGCACUGUAGACUCCGUUGAAUGCUGUGUUGCCAGUCAGCAGGUAAGAUUUUAAUUUAUUUUAUUAUUGCAUUUUUAUGACAAAGUGUAACAUAAUUCAUUCAUGUUGUGAAUUAAUCCUCUCUCCUUCAUAAAAAUGGCAUACAUGAUGAUGACCUAUAUUAAAGUAAUUGUCUACCAUGUGUAGCAUUAUAGUGAUCAUCCAUAAAUAAUAUAAAAGCUUGCAGAAAAUUAAAGUAGAAAGCACAUAACUGCGGAAAGAGAUAAAUCUUUAAAUAUUUGUGGUUUUUUUCCUGCUCACAUAUUGAGCUAGUGUUUCAGCCAUUUGAGCCACCUAGUGGUAAUAUCCAUGAAAUAUGAUUUCUUAUACAGAAAAAUAAUGCAAAAGCUUUAACAGUUUCCAACUUAACGGGAAAGAACUGAGUGAAACAAAUCAACCACUGUGUACAUUCAGAUUUUCAAAUUAAUAUUUAUUUAUUGGUGGAAGAUUGAGCAUUAUAAAAUAAAUUAUAGAAACAUAACUCUUUGCUUAUUUUGUUUCUUCUAGUAGAGGCUACACAGCCAAGAAAAUAAAAAUUAUAAGAAAUUACAAUAGUUGAUGAAGAGGAAGCUUUUGCUAUGUAUGACAAAGAAAUAGCUAUAAAACAUUUAAUGGACUAAAAUGACUAAUAUAUUUUAGAACUUACUGUAUUCAAAUGUCACCUUCGAUAAAUGGUCUUGAGUAUAGGUAGCCAUGUUUCCUAAAUCUGUCUUCCAGCCAGUCAUCAGUUAUAUUCAAAGAACAAAAGUUAAUCACCAAUCUGCUCAGCGGUCCGUUAGGAACGCUCCAUACCCAGAUUAGAUGGUGGCUAAUUUUAGAUUUCUUUGACUGGGAAUUGCAGAUCAAACUCAGUUUCCAUGUUGGCUCUGUUCUUAUGUAAUAACUUCCUGCAGAGCCAGAUCACUAAAUACUGUUCACAUCACACGCUAGAAUCCACAUUCAUCUUUUCCUUGUUAACUUUUAGGGAGUUUUUUAUUUGUUGUUCCAAGAGUGUCAGCUUCUUUGGCUUCCUGCUUUCUUAAAUUGCCAUAUGUCUCUAAAGAGGUUUUUCAGAAAUCAGAAUUAGCACAAAGAAAUUAUAGAUUUGUCCUCUUGUUCGAACUCACCAAGCUUCCUACUUGGUAGGAUUGCAAAGCCAUGAUAUGAAACCAGCAGGGAGAACAGCUUUGUUUUUGGAUGAUCCUGCUUGUCUGACCUCUGACCUCCUCCCUUCUCAUCUGUGCUUUCAUGAGGUGAGUAGAAGCCGGGUGGUUUUCAUGAGUGGUUCUGGAAGCGAAGGUAUCUAGAGGAGUGAAGAGUGUCAGCCUGAGAGCAGAGGAGACCUUUACAGAGUGAUUGAGCAGAAUAAAAAUGAAACAGGCUCUAAAAGAGGGGAAGCUUCCCCGAGAGAUAAGGCACCCAGGCAUAUCUCUGGGAGAAUGACGUCACUGAGGGAGGGUUCUGCUUGAGCCUAUGGUGGAGGUCUAUUAUUGUGACUUCUUUUUUUCUCUAUGAAUACUAGCUUUCUGGAAAGAAUGUGUGGUCAUGAGGUAGAUGUGUUUUCCAGCCUGGGCCAAUGAGAAUUUCCUCAGGUAUUUUGAACUUGGUACCAGUGAGAAGAGUCCGCCCGACAUCUUCUCUGAGGUGAAACCUGGGAGAUGCGAAUUGUGGUGCUGCUUCCUGCUACGUGGAGAAAAUCAGUCCAAAAGAUGAGAGAUGGAAGCCGAGAUGCAGAAAGGGGCAGAGACACGGGACAGGGAGAGUGUCUGAACCAUGUUUCUUGGAACCAAUGCACUUCUCCCUUUGCCUCAACCAGUUUGUCGUGGGUUUCUGUCACUUGCAACCCCGAGAGUCCUGAUUAAUACAGAGCAGAAGCUGCCUACACACAGCCACGUAAAUUAUUCUAGUGUUUUAGUGCAGAAAAUUGAUGGAAAAGAGCAGGUCCUAGAGCCCUGAGAAUCAGGUAGAUAAUGACCGGAAGAGCCCACCACAAGCUGGCGUUGACCAUGGCAGAGUGAGCAACCUCCUGUAAUCGUCAUAGGACGCUGAGAGAAUCUGUGCCCAUGUAGGUGUCUGAAGAACUUCAGGAGGACAUGGAAUUUUCAUCUACCCUAAAAUGCUCAUUACAGACCAUAUGUUUCCUUAAUUUCUUUUCUCACUGUUAAAAUUUCUACUGAUACAUUGUGAUGACUCACUUUUACAAGUGGAAAGUACCACGAUGCCUAAUAAUAGUUUCUGGGUUGGGGCUGAUGCUAGCUAUAUCAAUAUUGGUGCCUGUUAUGCCCACAGCUCCAUUUGAGGGAAACUGCCCAAUAUACCUCUUCUUAAAACUUUGGCCCCAUGCAGCCAUGUUUGGUAUCAGGUAGACGUCAGCUGAAGCUAGGGUCUACUCCGUGUUCAAUCUGGUCUUGAUUCCACAUCCUCUUCUCAUUCUUCAUGGGCUCUUUGAAUCAACUUAUCUAUUCUCAUGGUUAGCUAAUUCCCAGGAAUGUGCUAAUGGUUUCCAAAUUCACUUCUCUGGUAUUGAAUUCUUUCUUGAAAUCAAGUUCUUUAUCUAAUUGUGUUGGACAUUUCUUGUGAGAAGUCCUGUGGAAACCUCAAAGUCAAUGCAUCUAACAACUAAACUCUUACUGAAUUCUUCAUUUUCCCUGGGUCAGAGAGUGGCAUCACCAUCUACCCGGUUGCUUAAGCCAGAAACUUGUGAAUCCUUGGGGACUCCUUCCUCUUUUGACCCCUACAUUUGACCAGUCACUAUGAUUUUUCCACACUAUCUCUGUUACUUCCCAGGCGCAUCUCUUUCUCUCCAUCCCUACCACCACAUCCUUAGUCAAGAUCCUUAUUAGUUUUUGUGUGGCUUAUUAGAACAGCCUCUUAACUUUUCUCCCAGACUUGAGUUAUUCACCACGGGCUAUCACUUUCCUUUCUGGAGUUAACUUUGUAAAUCGAAGAUCUCAUAAUGUCAUUAAACAUUUUUUUCAUGACUCCCCUUGCUAAAUAACUGUAAGUUCUUUUGUAUGGCUUUUCCUGCCUCUCCAACAAGAUUUUUAGCCCUUCCCUUCUGACCAUUCCACUUUCUGGCUGUGUGAGUUGCUCCCUGAAUGGGUCAUGCUCAUUCUUGCCUCAGUGCUUGGGCUGCUCCUUCUGGGAAUACCGUCCCCGCCACUUCUGCCUGUACAGCUUCAUGAUUCAGCUCAGUUACUCCCUCCUUUGGAGAGCCUUUCUUUCUUUUUUUCCCCCCUUUUUAUUAAGAUUAUGAUAGUUUACAACCUUGUGAAAUUUCAGUUGUACAUUAUUGUCAGUCACGUUGUAGGUGCAUCACUUCACCCUUUGUGCCCACUCUCCACCCCCCAUUUCACCUGGUAACCAUCAGUCAGUUCUCUUUAUCUACAUGUUUAACUUCCACCUAUGAGUGGAAUCAAACAGAGUUCGUCUUUCUCUAUCUGGCUUAUUUCACUUAACAUAAUCCCCUCAAGGUCCCUCCAUGUUGUUGUGAAUGGGACUAUUUUACCCUUUUUUAUGGCUGAGGAGUGUUCCAUUGUAUAUAUAUACCAUCUUCUUCAUCCAAUCAUCAGUUGAUAGGCACUUAAGUUGCUUCCAUGUCUUGGCUCUUGUAAAUAAUGCUGCAAUGAACAUAGGGGUACAUGGGACUUUUGGAAUUGCUGAUUUCCAGUUCUUUGGAGAGAUACCCAGUAGUGGGAUGGCUGGGUCAUAUGGUAUUUCUAUUUUUAAUUUUUUGAGUAAUCUCCAUACUGUUUUCCAUAGUGGCUGCACCAGUUUGCAUUCCCACCAACAGUGUAUGAGGGUUCCUGUUUUUGGAUAGCCUUUCUUAACCUUCUUCCUCUCUGGACACUUCUACGAGAGCACUUAUCACACUGUCUUUCUAUCAUCUGCUUACUUCUGUGUCUUCCCAAAUGUGCUAUAAAUUCCGUGAAGCUCAAACCAGCAGCUGGAUAUUGAAUGAACAAACAAACAGAGCCUUUCAGUUAACCAGUAAGUUCAAAGAAGAAUAAAACCAUGAACUAUUUACUAACUACCCUGUUUGGAGUUUACACUCUGGGUAGCAUCAAUACUGAAACCAUAAAUAAGAAAAAUGAAGAUAUUAGUAUUGAUAAGACAUUGCAAAGGAGGAGCCUCCUGCCAUUAUCCACCCACUUCUAGCAGAACAGAUUGGUGGGUGAGAGAAAUGAAAUACGGUACCCUAAACUGACCAAAACUAGGGUGGGAGGAAGGCAGUCAUUUCAUUGUGAUAGAAUAAUACCUGGGUAGAGACUCUGCUCCCUUGUUAACUUUUAAGCAGCUGUAACAAGCAUUGGCAGGUGUCUGCAUGACCAAAUUUGAAAGCCUUUGAUUGUCCAAAAAAGACUGGAAAAUGCUUUUCCAGAAGCAAGAGAGAAGAGAAGCUGUCUGGGAUCCUGUGAGGACUCAAAUGGAAGAGUGGCUAAAAUUUGGAUUUGUAUGCUCCCAACUCAAAGGAAUUGUCCAGGUAGCUGUUUUCAGUCUGUCUCCUGUCAUUUUAUCUAUUUAGGCUGUUUCUCUCUCAGUGACAUUUAGCAAUUAGCUAACAAAAUAGCGUUUGCCUUCUUUGUAGGUCGACUAAAUUAGUCUCAGGAUGGCUGCCUCUUUCCUCUUGGGAGCCUGACCCAGCUGCUGGCGAUGCCUUGGUGAUUAUCCUCCACAAAGGGGAGCUAGAGACACAUUUGAGGGACAUAAAACAAGGGAUCUAGCAUAGUGAUCAAAUCAGAAAAUUUCAGCAGCAUCUAUUUAGCAUCAACUCAGAAGUUGCUCCAGAAUUUCUAUAAAAAGGGGAUUUAAGGGCACAAUUUGUUUGAAAAGGCAGACUAGGGAGGGGCGGAUGGAGAUACGGAGAUUACGGAGUGGUAGGGUGAAUGUAAAUCCCUCCUGAGCUCCGGAAUCCCCUUCUUGUGUUGCCGUGGUAACUAUUUUCUUACUUCAUUGUGCUGGACAUCACAGGAGAUUAAAAAAACAGCAACUUGAUUAAAAUGAACUCUGCCCUCAAGGGAAUUAGAGUUCAGCCAGAGGAGACAGAAAACUAACAGGUGUAUGAGGUUAUUAACCAACCUGGAAGAAUUUUCUAAAGACAACUGAAGUACAGGAAAACCCUAUUGUAACUUGAUAAACGAGGGUCCAAAAGUUCUGGUAGUGUAAAUGCAGAGUCUACAUUAUUGCAAGAUAAAUAAAUUAAUUAGGCGAACCUGUGCAGCUGAUUGACCGAGAGGUCUGGGCUGGACCACACCAUUGAAAUCCUUUGUGCACCCACAUGCAAUUUAGUAUCAGCUGGUGGCCGUUGUGUCUUCUGGCUAAAUAUCGAUGGAGAUGAUUCUGGGUUUUGGGCCUGGCUGGAUUUUCAGGGCAGCAGCAGGAAUUCCAGAAAUCUCUGAAGCAAUGCUCAUCUCUUCAGCCCUUUGUAGGGAAAUUGGACUGAGAGAUUAGUGGGGAUACGGACAUGCUCCCUUCACAUCCCUGUAACCUAAGAUAGUGUUGCCUACACUCUCUUCCCCCAGUCUCAUACCCUCAUCCCACGUGUCUCCUCUCCAGAAAAUGAGAACUUUGCUUGCCCUGACCCAUUUGAAAAGUGGGUUUGGCCACGGUUGAAGACACUUGCCAAUUUUCAAUUGCAUUGUAUCUGGAUUCACACUAUCCUGGGGCAUGGUUAUCCAGGGAUUUUUCUAUAAUAAUGUUCUCUUUGAGUUGAAAGAAAUCGGAGUGUUGCCCUGAGGAGGAAGAAUUAAGAUAUAAUUAUUGUACAAGGUGGAUAUGUGUGAAUAGUAAUAACUAAGGAUUAUUGAAUCCUUACUAUAUGCCAGGCAUCGUUCUAAGCAAUUAACUUGUGUUAUCUCAUUUAUUCCUCGAGGUAGCCCGAUGAAGUCUUUACUAUUAUGAUCUCCAUUUUAGAGAUGUAGAAAUUUAGGUAUAGAAAGAUAAUUUUCCCAAGAGCAUGUGGCUGCUAAGUGACAAAGUUGGGUGUAUAAACUCAACUAGUCUUACUCCCGAGACCAUAUUUUUAACCACAAGGUUAUUUUGCCAUGGAAACAUAUAGGUUGUCACUUUGUUUUGUUUUGUUUUAAAACUAGCUCAAAUUCUCAGCUGGACUAUAAUAAUUAAAAUCCCAGUAGCUAACUUUGUUAUAAAUGAAAAGAAUACCAUCAGGGUAGGAAAACCCUGCAAAUACUUGGGAUUUUGAUUUCUCAUGUCCAAAGAAAUUCUGAUUUGAUUUCUAAUCUUAGCCUCUUAUCUUUUCACAGAGGUGUCCUGCAACCUUACUUGUUCUUUCUUUCCCUAGAAUUUUCAGUUUUUGUCUCUCUUUUAAUUUCUUCCUCUUUCCAUUUAAAUACGCCCAUGUCUACUGUAUCUUGGAAAAGAAUCAUAGGCUGAUAUAUUCUGGGCUGUACCUCUAGUGUUUUAAAAAGACCUAUUUCUCUCAUUUCCUUCCAUUUCCACUCCACUUCCCGAGGGUCUGUCUCUUGAAGGCCCUGGUAAUCUAGUUGUGAAGUUCACAGGCAUUUGUCAGUUUCAUUGGUUCUGGUUCCUUUCUCUUCUCUUAUUACAGAGAGAUCCAGCUCAUCUGCUUCUUUUUUCUUUUUCCUUUUUCAUCUCUCAUCUUCCUCCUACCCACUCACUGUGGGUUCCUCCAAUGCCUAUUGCAUAGAACUCUGCUAUUCUUUUGAUGCAUUCUUCCCUUUGACAAAGUCAUCCAUUUUCACCUCUCCCUUUCAUACAGGCUAUUUUAUAUCUAUCUAAACCUGAGUAAUUUCCUCUAACCCAAAUGUCAGUAUUCAUUUCCAAGUGCUUCCUGGAAAUUUCCAUUUAAGUAUUAAUCUGCUGUUACCAUUGAGCUCAAAGUGAACAAAUCUUAGUUCAAAAUUGAUAUUUCCCGUGUGGGUUCUCAUGAUAAUAAUAAUAAUAAAAAAUGAUUAUGCAGCAUGUACACAGAGCCUGGCACCAUUCUAAGCACAUUAUAUGUAUUAAAUCAUUUAGUCCUUAAAACAAUUAUUAUCCUUCUGUUACAGAUGAAAGAACUCAGACCUAGAGGUGUGAAGCAAUAUGCCCCCAAUUGGCACCACACAGCUACAAAGUGGAGCCACAAUUCACCCAGGUGGUGUUGUGUAAGAAUCUCUACUUCUAACCAAUGCUUUAUAUAUCUAUGCCAUGUUGUCUGAUUCCUCACGUUCAAAACCAUAUUCAUCAACAUUCUUUUUAUCUUCUAGUCCAGUCCAUAACUUCUUUACUUUUCUUUCAAAACAUUUUUGUCUAUAUUGCUCAGGGUCUGCAAACGCACAAAUGGCCCAUUCAAAAAAAGACACAGAGGUAUGGUUAAGGGAACCUGAAAGGGAUGGAGAAGCUCCCAGGUGCCAAAACCAUUGGGAAGCUGUCACCACCCCUAGGCAUGAAAGGGCAGAAGGGGUAAACAAAGAUUUGGGAGUCCAGAAGAAGCUAGAUCUAUGGAAGUGGAACCACCACCAGUUCCUAGAGGAAAGCAGCCACUGGCAAACCCUAGUGAGGCAUGGGAUGUGGGAAGGAGGGUGAGAAGACUAAACAUCCCAACCCCUCUCUCCUCGUGGCUUCCGAUUUCCCACCUGUGCUUCUUUACCUCGUGCCUGGAUCGUUGCUGCUGCCUCCUCUAUGAUCUAACUCCGCUCCCCUCCGCUUUAUCCUGCAGUCCUAUCAUCAGACCAGUCUCUCUAAGAUCCCGCAUUCGUUAUGUCAUUUUUCUUCUCAUAACCUUCAAAGGCUUGUCAUUACUCUUCAGUCUGUUGUUGGCCAUUCUCCAAAUCCCGAGUUCAAUCUCUCUUUCAGAUGUUAUCUUCUGCAACUCUCCUAGCCCUUUGCUCUGAUUGGCCUCCUCAUUGCCAUCCCCCUUUCUAUAAACACGCCACUCUCAUCCCUGCAUCAAAUGCUGUGAUUCAUAUCUUUCCGUAUGCCUGAAAUACCCCUGGUCUUCUAUCCAGAUGCUAUACAUCCUUCAAGGCCCAUAUCUUCUGCAAAAACUUCUCUGACCGCUCCUACAUCAGUGGGUCCCUCUAUCUUCCCAGGUUUCUGCUGAAUUGUGGUAACACCUUACCAGUUAGGUCUUAAUUGUUCCUAUAUGUUUCAUAAACACAUGCUUUGUCUCCUCUAACCGAAAGGUGAGGAUCCCCAAACCAAAGGUGUGGUCGAUUGUUCGUUGGUGUGACUCUCAUUUUCUAAGCUAUAGCAGCUUGAAGGGGUACAACUAAAGCAGUGUGGGGGACAGUUAACAUGCCAGCAAAAAGUGAUCUAUGCUCUGAGCCCCUUGCUGUAAAAUCAGGGCCACCCCAGCCUUCAAGUCCCUCGCUCUCCUGGCAGAGUUCCAGGUCCUCUCCUUUGCUGCUGAAGCACUUCAGAUCAAGUGCCAGAGUCAUCUCUGCGGGGCUCCGUCCGUGCUACUGUAGGCUGCAGGUCUUACCGCAAAUUGAGAUUGAUCAGUGUUCUGUGGGCAUCUUUCAACUUUCCUUCUGGGGAUUGUUCAUUUCCAUAUGGUUUGCGUUCUUACUCUUUGUGAUGUAAUCCAUCCUGUUUGCCAAGAGUUGCCUGUUGGAAUGGGAUUAUUUGGUUCACACCUCUAGAGAAUUCCAGUCUACUGACCCCUAGCUAGUGUUUCUGGCUUAAGUUGGUCCAUGUCAACUCUUCCCUCAUGCAGGGCAAUGCCUGGGAGUUAAUCUUCAUUUCUCUUCUUUGCUCAAGAAUCUGAGUGCUGGGGCUGUCUAUGAGCUCUGUUCAGCCAAGAACCCUCUGUGGAACCCUCUGUGACAUGCUUGGGCACACCUGAGUCCCCUAACUAGCAUGAUAACUUGUUCUCACAAGACCCUUCCUUCUAUUUGUCAUUCACUGUGGUGUUUACAUAUUGAUCUUUUCUCUUUCCUUUUCCCAAUAUCAUACUUUUAGACCUUAGAAUCUCCUUUACUCUCCCUAGGAGGCUUAAAACUCAUCCUUUUAAGAGUUAAGUAGAGGCAGGAUGAGUUAAUGAACAUAAAUGGACUUAUUCCAUUGGUCGUUUGUUUGGUUUCUCUGGCCUUAUAUCUAGAAACCUGUCUCACCUUUUUGUCUUUUUCUACCUUGUCUUUUUAAAUGAAUACUCCUUAAGAUGACAGGUUCUCCAAUAGCUUAAUCUGAACUGGAGAAAUUUUAAAAAACGAUCCUAAGAAAGCCUAAAGUAUUUCAGAAGGAGGAAGAAUUUGUGUAGUGAAAUCUAUUAAUAAUGGAUAUCUUGGGGUCUUCUGAAUUAUAUAUGUACAGCUGAAAAAAUAAUUCUUUGUGCUCAUUAAUUUUGGAGCAAAGAAAUGCAACUUUCAUCCUUUUCUAAUCUGCUAUGGUUUGUAAUUAGGUGAUGAAAUGCACUCUUCUCCAAAGUCAGCAUCAGUUAGCUGUCUGGAUGUUUCUAUCUAUCGAGUCAAAGCUAUCUUACUUUUUUAGAGAUGAUCACAGAAAUGGAAAGCGUCACGAGACUGGCUAAAUCAAGACAUAGGGAAUGGAGGAAAAAAAGAACCAUUGAAAGAAACAACUGAGUCCAUACAAGAACGUUCCUUUUGCAGACUUUGACAUCAUGAAGGACAUAUGUCUCUGUUUACCUCAGCUGUUAUAAAAUUGUAUGAUGUGCAAGAGAAGCUAGAACUAGAUGGGAGCAGAGAAGGGGGUCUGGGCCCUUUUGCAAACACCAAGACCUUUUGUUGGAAUGGGAUAGAAAAAACCCACAAGCUUAACUUGGUAGGUCUGAGGGCUUGCUAAUGCAACCAGCUGAAACUUUGUAAACGUUUAGCAUAAAACUCAUUUUUAAUCUCAUAAACUUAAUUUUUUCCCCUAGCAUAUGGGAUGCAUAAAAAGGAAAUAAAACUUUAGUAAAUUGAGCCUUACUUGUGCUUUAUAAAAAAGAAAUUGAAUUGCUCUAAUGGCAGCUGCAGCUGGCUUUCAGCUUCGAACAACCAGUGUAAAUCUCGUUUUUAGUGCUUGAUUUAGUAAACACUCAGCUGCGAACAGGCUUGGAAAACAACUCUGAAUGCAGGGUUUUCCAUAAAGGCAGUUAUGUAACCUCUGUGUGUUAUGCCUUUAAAAUCUGUGAAGAAUAGCAGAAACCCUGAUUGAGAUAUCUUACAAUUAUCCUUUACUCUGGAUUUAAAUCUGCAGAGAGUUUGCUACUCAUUAUGCACAGAGCGAGCACAAAUGGAUUCUAAUAGGCCAUACAUUUAGAUGUAUGUGUGAUACUCGUUAAAGAUAUUAAAAAAGUAGAGUACUAAUAACCAGUUGAGAAGCCAGAGUUGAGUUGGGCGUGUCAUCUGGUCAUCUCCAAGUGACAAUCACAGCUUGUUUUUUAUUCUGCCCUUCUCUGAGCCGUGUCGGGCUCCUAUACAUUGAAGAGCCGUGAGAAUUCCUGGUUUGUAUUCUCUUUAGCAAAGGUUGCACGUGCCCAGCUUGCCAUUUUUGCUAAAAAUAGGGAGAAAAUCUUCUUCCUAAUGAACAAGAUGAAACAUCCAAGUGCUUUUAAAUUGACACACAAAUCACUUACGAUUCUAAAGCCAGUUUAUCCUAAAUAUUUCUAGUGACCUGGACUUAGUGGGGAUUUCCGUGUUUUGGUUGUUGGUUUUCCCAUCUCUCUAUAGACUCACUGGUAGACAAAAUGAGAGUUGGCACCUUGUGGCAUUCCUGCUAAGGGAAUCAUUUAAAAUAAUUCUGGCUAGGAUGGCCAAGGUUAACCCUGGGCACAAUUUGGAAUUAGGAUAAAUUGAUGCCUCUUUUCUUCCUCCCUGAAACAUCUUCCAAUCCCUCAGGCCUAUUUUUAGCUGGCUGCCAACCAGCCCUGCAUGAGCAAAUGUGUGAAGGUACGCUAUUUCUCAGGGGCAUUUUCAAUUUUAAAAGAGACUCUCAAAUGUGGAAAAGUCGUCAGACCCCAAAUCUGUGCUGUUUACAUGACGGGUCCUGGGGUUGAUCGUCUGGGCAGAGGGCAAUUUGUUCCAAGGCUGCCUCUGGGCGCAGUGGCUGGACUACAGAGAAGUAAAUUCACACACAGCCUCCUUUUUCCCGCCAACUGGUUGUUUGGCUGCCAGCAAUUGGAGCUAUUAAACACAUGGAGACUUGAUGAGAAAUUCGAAAAGACUAAUGCACAGUGUGGUAGGUGGAGAGAGUCACCAGUGGGCGGUUCUACUCGUGGCUCUGCGGUACCAGCUUCGUGACCUCAGGGAAGUCACUUAAACUCUCUGAGCUACUGUCUCGCCCCACCUUUCAGGCCUGUUGCAGGAUCAAAUACAAACAUGAGAAAGUACUUUGAAAACUGUCCCAUUGGGUUUCAGAGGACAAAUGUGGGCAAGUAGCAGAUCCUGUUAUGCCUGUGGAUGGAAUUCUGGAUCCUGGAGAAGAAUCGAUGGCUGACUAAACAGUUAAAAAGGAUGACAGCACUACAGAAGUCAGAGUGAAGAUAUUCAGGUGAAAACAAGAGGGCUAUUCCAGGUGUAAUCUGUAUUAUACCUCUCUCCAGCCAGGCAUUCAAAUGAUAUCAUGACUCUUUUUAAUAUUCAAAUUAUCACUCGAGAGACUACCUGUUUAUGUUGGAAGUCCAGUACUUUUGUGUUCUUUAUUUUUAUUUUUAAAUUAAAUUUUACAUGCGUGUAGUUUAAAAAGUCAAAUGGUAAUAAAAGAGAUGUUACAAAAUUUAGCUGUUACAGGAGCCCUGUGGCUGAGUGGUUAAGGUUCCGCAUACUCUGCUUCAGGAGCCCGGACUCACCAGUUCAGAUCCCAGGCACAGACCUAUUCCACUCAUCAGCCAUGCUGUGGUGGCAACCCCCAUACAAACUGGAGGAAGAUUGGUACAGAUGUUAGUUCAGGUCUAACCUUCCUCACCAAAAAAAAAAAAAAAAAAAUUGUCGCCAUUACAAAUUUUAGUUUCCUGACUUACCCUUUCUCACUUCCCCUGGUGCCCCCCUCCAAAGGCAACAGCUUGCAGCUCUUUUAAAACUCCUUUUGGCCUUUACACAUCUCCAAAGUUCUAAAAAUUAUGGCUAUAUUGCUUUCUCUUGAUUUGUCCAUUAGGCAUUAUCUAUUGAAUUCUUACCAUGGAAGACAGAGCUAGCUGUGUAUUCUGCUGUCAUUUUGCUUCUCCUUUCUCAUCUUCCCAAUAUGGUCCUCUUAGAAUUUUGGUUAAAUUAGCAGCAGAUUAUUCUAAUAUUCUUUAUAAUUGAGUAUUGCCACAUACCCUGGCUUUUUUCCCCCCUUCCUUCCUUUAUAUUUUUCACAAAGUUAAUAACAUCUGUUUUUCAUUUGCUGAGUAUCCUUUGUAAUCUAUUUUUAAUUAUUUCCAUUUCUUCUAAUGGCCUUUUAGUAAAUCUUUCCAGAAAGUCAAUCAACAGCUCAUCUAUCAGUUCCCGUAGAUAUUUUUGAGACAUCUUCCCUUCUUCCCCUCUGGCCUGGCUGCAUGGUGGUCAUCUUUGGAUUACUUUUACUCCCAUUUCAGGGCUGAGUGGAUUUUCUGGAUUCAUAUCUUUCUCUUUGUUUCUCUCUUCUUUUUCAUUAGAGAACAUCCUCUAGUGGUUUCAUCCGGUGGAUGCUAUAGUAGCAGAGGGAAUUGGCAGCUGCGCCCAUGUCGAUCUCUUGAAUCACAUGAUUUCAUUCAUUCUCUUCACUUGGUGCCCUGUCAUCAUUAGGAAUCGCUCUUCCCCAUCACCUUGGAAAUUCUUUUUCUCUUUCCCACUUCAAAUCAUCUCUUCCCUCUAUCCUACAGAUCCUUCUCCGCUUACUCCUUCACUCUGAUGAGGGCAUUUUCAACAGCCUCCUGAGAAAGCAUGCAUGAAAAGCAUAUUUUUUGAGACCUUACAUUUCUAAAAGUGUUUAAUUUGACCUCCUCUAUAAUUUAGGGCUGAGUAUUGGAUUCUAAGUUGGAAGUAAUUUCCCUUCAGAAUUUUGAAAGUGCUUCAUUGCCUUCUGGAUUCCGAUGUUGGUGUCAGAAAGUUCAAAGCCAUUCUGAAUCCUGACACUUUGUGGCCGUUUUUUCCUUUCUCUAACUUGCCAGAUCUUUUCUUGGUCCACAGUAUAAGGAACUGAGGUGCUUCAGGGUGAAUCUGUUUCUUCCACUGUGCUGGGUACUUAGCGGGCCUUUCAAUCUGGAAACUGAUGUCUCUUGGUUCUAGGAAAUUUUGCUUAUGAUUUCCUCUUCUCUGUUUCCUCUCUUCUUUCUGGUAAUCUGAUAAUUCUGAUGUCAGACUUCCUGGAAUUGUUUUCUAAUUUUCUUAUUUUUCUAGUUGUCCUUCUAUUUAUCUUUUCCCUUGUGUUCUGGGUUUUCCAACUCAUUAAAUUUUUCAUUUGUGAUCAUGUGUUUAAUUUUCAAGAACACUCUUUGUUCUCUGUAUGCUCCUUUUUGGAGGACUCUGUUCUUGCUUCAGGAAGGCAGUAUCUUUUCUUGUGCUCUUGUUUUUAAAGUACUCCUAUCCUUGCACUGUUUCAGUUUCCCCCAGGUUGCUUUUUUCUGUUUGCUCUGGUCGUUUUUUUCCACAUUAGCGGGUUUUCUCAUAUGUCUCGAAGCCCUUGAUUGUCUGCUACCGGUCAAGCUUAAAUCUCUGCAAAUGAGGCUGGGGCUUGUCAACUUUGAGCUUCCCAGUGGGGUCAUCUUCCCUUGAGUCAUUUGGAGGGGAGUUCUAGGUGUUAAUAUUUUUAAAUCUUUCUCUUUUUUUCUCUUACUCUUUUCCUAGCCUUAACAACUUUUUUUUUUUUUGCUACAAUUUCAGUAUCUACAUGGUAACAUGUAUUGCAGCCUCUUAUAAUAAUGCUGUGCCUUUGAAUAACUUUGUUGUUGACUUAAGACAUUUGUGAAUCUUGUUUCUUUUGACUUUUAUUGGCCUUGUAAGCUGCUUAACAAUAAAAUGUGGCUUAUUACAUAGUGCCUCUUGGUAUUCUAGUCUUUCUGAAAAAGAGAUUUUUCCAUUGAAAAUAAGACUAACAAUGAUGUCUUUACAACAAAAGUAUUUCCCAGUCUCCUUCCUUUGAAACUCAUGAUUUUCAUCAGCUGCUUUUCUCUUCUUGGCAGCAACCAUUUGGAAAAUGACAGCCUCUACUCACACCAUCAUCGUCCAUUCUCCCCACCAUCUGCCCACUGACUCCAAGCCAGCAGACACGUAUGUCUACCUGCAAGACAAACCCAGUCAAUGAUUAUCCUCCAACUGUCAGGUGCUGCCAUUGGCACAUCCAUCGGCACAUGAGUUGCAGAUGUCACAGGAUGUGGCCAAGCCAAAACUUUUCAGACCUUGACCUGAGGUAAUCUUUCAAGCCAGGUGCUAGUUACAGGCUUCCAUGCAGUAACCACCACUGUAAGUCCUAAUGGUCGCUUAUGGGCCAAGAGGUGAGCACGUGUGGGGACAGACGGCCUCUGGCUCUCUUUCCUUGUCUGCUGUUGCCAUUUCUCUGUGAUCCCCAAAGUCACCACUAUAGCAACAGGGCAUCUCUUCUACGAAAAACC
rnacentral:lncRNA from 1 species